UACGAAGGGGGCUAGCGUUGCUCGGAAUCACUGGGCGUAAAGCGCACGUAGGCGGCUUGCUAAGUCAGGGGUGAAAUCCUGGAGCUCAACUCCAGAACUGCCCUUGAUACUGGCGGUCUCGAGUCCGGGAGAGGUGAGUGGAACUGCGAGUGUAGAGGUGAAAUUCGUAGAUAUUCGCAAGAACACCAGUGGCGAAGGCGGCUCACUGGCCCGAUACUGACGCUGAGGCACGAAAGCGUGGGGAGCAAACAGG
rnacentral:rRNA from 1 species